CCUGGUUGAUCCUGCCAGUAGUCAUAUGCUUGUCUCAAAGAUUAAGCCAUGCAUGUGUAAGCACACACUGUUUUAAAAGUGAAGCCGCGAAUGGCUCAUUACAACAGCCACAGUUUAUUAGAACUUACAUACAUGGAUAACUGUGGUAAUUCUAGAGCUAAUACACGCACAAAAACUUCAACUAUACAAUGGUUGAAGUGCUUUUAUUAGAACAAAAACCGAACGGCGUUCGACUUGUGUUGAACGUCGAAACUCUUUGGUGAAUCUGAAUAACUAUUUCUGAUCGCAUGGUCUAGCACCGGCGACAUCACUUUCAAGUGUCUGCCUUAUCAACCUUCGAUGGUAGUCUAUGCGACUACCAUGGUGAUAACGGGUAACGGAGAAUCAGGGUUCGACUCCGGAGAGGGAGCCUGAGAAACGGCUACCACAUCCAAGGAAGGCAGCAGGCGCGCAAAUUACCCACUCCCAGCUUGGGGAGGUAGUGACGAAAAAUAACGAGACGAUUCUCGUUUGAGAAACGUUAUCGAAAUGAGUACGCUUUACACACGCUAACGAGUAGCAAUUGGAGGGCAAGUCUGGUGCCAGCAGCCGCGGUAAUUCCAGCUCCAAUAGCGUAUAUUAAAGUUGCUGCGGUUAAAACGCUCGUAGUUGAAUUGUGGUCUUAGACAACAGUCCCCCUAUAUAGGUGUGGCACGGUUGCUCGAGAUCUUCAUUCGUGGUUGCUGUUGUUGCUCUUCAUUGAGUGUCAAUGGUGCCUCGAGAUUUUACUUUGAAAAAAUUAGAGUGCUCAAAGCAGGUUGUGAUGCCUGAAUAAUGGUGCAUGGAAUAAUAGAAUACGAUCUCGGUUCUAUUUUGUUGGUUUUCGAACCGGAGAUAAUGAUUGAAAGGAACAGACGGGGGCAUUCGUAUUGCUGCGUUAGAGGUGAAAUUCUUGGAUCGCAGCAAGAUGAACAAUUGCGAAAGCAUUUGCCAAGAAUGUUUUCAUUAAUCAAGAACGAAAGUUAGAGGUUCGAAGGCGAUCAGAUACCGCCCUAGUUCUAACGGUAAACUAUGCCAACCAGCGAUUCGCCGAAGUUCAUUUAAGACUCGGCGAGCAGCUUCCGGGAAACCAAAGUGUUUCGGUUCCGGGGGAAGUAUGGUUGCAAAGCUGAAACUUAAAGGAAUUGACGGAAGGGCACCACCAGGAGUGGAGCCUGCGGCUUAAUUUGACCCAACACGGGAAAACUCACCCGGCCCGGACACUGAAAGGAUUGACAGAUUGACAGCUCUUUCUUGAUUCAGUGGGUAGUGGUGCAUGGCCGUUCUUAGUUGGUGGAGCGAUUUGUCUGGUUAAUUCCGAUAACGAACGAGACUCUACCCUAUUAAAUAGUGACAGUAUUGCAUAUUCUGUGCUGAUCACUUCUUAGAGGGACUGGCAAAUUGAAAGCUGCACGAAAAAGAGCAAUAACAGGUCUGUGAUGCCCUUCGAUGUCCGGGGCUGCACGCGCGCUACAAUGAAAGCGUCAACGUGAGUUACGUCCUUACCUGAAAAGGUUUGGCAAUCGAUUGAAACGUUUUCUUGAAUGGAAUAGGGAAUUGCAAUUGUUUCCCUUGAACGAGGAAUUCCCAGUAAGCGUGAGUCAUUAGCUCGCGUUGAUUACGUCCCUGCCCUUUGUACACACCGCCCGUCGCUACUACCGAUUGAAUGGCUUAGUGAGGCCUCCGGAUUGGUUUAAAGAAGGGGGCAACUCCAUCUUGGAACCGAAAAGCUGGUCAAACUUGGUCAUUUAGAGGAAGUAAAAGUCGUAACAAGGUUUCCGUAGGUGAACCUGCGGAAG
rnacentral:rRNA from 1 species